rnacentral:snRNA from 1 species
UUGAUUUGGCAGCACAUAUACUUACACUGGGAUGACACAGAAAGAUUGGCAUGGUCCCGUGGAAGGGUAACACACAAAUUCCCGAAGCAUUUCGUAUUUUU